rnacentral:lncRNA from 1 species
UGAUACUAGGGUAAUCCCUUUCAAUCUUAUUAAUAGAUAUUAAGAGUAUACAUAAUAUUUAUACAGCAGUAAUCACGUAUGAGUAGGAAAGAUAUAUAAUAUAUUCCUAAAUAUAUAGAAACAUAUAUAAUAUAUUCUUAAAAGAUAAUAUCCCAUAAUAAUAUAAUAUCUUGUAAUAAUAUCCUAACAAUAUGAAAUAUGAUCAACAUAUUACAUACAUCCUAUGAUUAAAAGACAUGCUAUGGAUAUGGUCCUGGCUCCCUCCAUGACGAUGAUGGAACCAUUACAAGCAUGGUUGAUGGUGAUGGAGCCGGUGCAACCAUGGUUAUAGUCUGACCAGAUUUAGGCGGAGGUGGUGGCGAUAAUUCUACGACCCUAUAGAUCCCUAUGUUCAAAGAAGAUGAAGCAGAAGUAACCCUCCGUGCAACAGCCUUGCCGCUGAAACCAAACUGUGAAAGAAGCAAUCCAUGGAUCAAAAACAAAGCAAUCAAGCGUUGAAUGUUACAAACAAUUUUCUGAUUCUUCAUACUGUUGGAAGCAUUUGUUUUUAAGCAAAGCCUUUUGCAAGUUUAUGGUCUUUUAUAUAUAUAAUUGGGAGGAAGUUUCUUUAUGAUUCAUCAAUUGAAGUAGAACUUGUCAACCUGUGUUUUUGC